GAUAAAUUAUGAAAGGUUAGAAGGGGCAGCAUAUGAUUGGCUAAAACUGAUUUGAUGGGAGUAGCAUGGUAGGUGCAAGAUUGGUAGGUUUGCUGGAGAUUUCUAUUGACGAGCCAUGAAAGUGGGCUUGGCUUAGCAAAUUUGUACGAGUGAAGUGGAGUUGUAGACCCUCUGGAAUGGAGUAAAGGCUAUGCAGUAGUGCAGCUUCUCUCAGAGGUUCUGGAAACAAUGAUUUGGAUCAGUUAUCUCUGUUCUUAUAUUCCUCAUUCAUUGAUUCUAUCAAUUUGAUUUUUAUGAAGCUCUAGAGACGUUGCUUUUGAUGGGCCUUUUUAUUUUUCCUGCUCAUAUAGGCUGUGUUUGGAUGCAAUAUUGAAUUGACUUGCAAUAGGUAGUUUCAUUAAGGUGGAAAUGACUAAAUUGUAGCUUCUUUCGUUUUCAGUCUAAGGGCCUGUUUGGAUUGGUGGAAAAAGGGAUUGAACAGAGGAAAUAAAACUGAUUCCUCUGAUGUGACAGUUCCCCACAUUUGCAAAAGUAAAGAGAACUGAGGAAAUGUGUUUUCCUUUCUACUGCUUUCCCCAGAAAAGGGCCAUUUCCUUUUACUCUCUAAAACUAAGAAAUGAGAUUUCCACUCUUUUUGCAGGCUUUCUAAUCAAUAGCAUCUCCACCUACAAAGCCGUGGCAUGGUAAGUUCACUUGUUUACUUGUAAGAAUCAAACCUCCUUUCCUGAAUCUAAUUUUCUUUGCAUAAUUCUCUUUGAUGUAUGUAUUUCAUCAUCGCGAUUUUCAGGUUUCUUGGAAACAACAGGUUGUCCGAUAUACUGCCAUCCCAAAAAAGCUAUAAACUUCUUAAUGUGUUUUAGGCAUGGAUGAAUGAGAGCUAGAUUGAUGUAUUUUUAUUUUAUUUUAUUUUAUUUUUUGUAUUUGAAACUAUUUAAUUUAUUAUUGUAAAUAUUAUUCGCUGCAGUAGUAAAGAAGAGAAGGGAAAUGGCUACAACAUCAAACAAAGAAGCCUCCAUCUACUUGCUUAUAAGUCGCUUUGUAAGCCAUAGCCCAUCCUACCAAUGCAACAGCCAAUUUUUUUGGCUUGCA